rnacentral:rRNA from 1 species
AGCGAACGCUGGCGGCAGGCUUAACACAUGCAAGUCGAACGCCCCGCGAGGGUAGUGGCAGACGGGUGAGUAACACGUGGGAACGUACCCUUUGGUUCGGAAUAACUUGGGGAAACUCAAGCUAAUACCGGAUAAGCCCUUAUGGGGAAAGGUUUACUGCCGAAGGAUCGGCCCGCGUCUGAUUAGAUAGUUGGUGAGGUAGUGGCUCACCAAGGCGACGAUCAGUAGCUGGUCUGAGUGGAUGAUCAGCCAGACUGGGACUGAGACACGGCCCAGAUUCGGGCGGGAGGCAGCAGUGGGGAAUGUCGGAGGAUGGGGGCAACCAUGCUCCAGCCAUGCCGCGGGAGUGAUGAAGGCCGUAGGGUUGUAAAGCUCUAUUACCCGGGACGAUAAUGACUGUACCGGGAGAAUAAGCCCCGGCUAACUUCGUGCUAGCCGCCGCCGUAA